rnacentral:rRNA from 1 species
AGUAACGCGUAAAGAACUUGCCUCACAGUUAGGGACAACAUUUGGAAACGAAUGCUAAUACCUGAUAUUAUGAUUUUAGGGCAUCCUAAGAUUAUGAAAGCUAUAUGCGCUGUGAGAGAGCUUUGCGUCCCAUUAGCUAGUUGGAGAGGUAACGGCUCACCAAGGCAAUGAUGGGUAGCCGGCCUGAGAGGGUGAACGGCCACAAGGGGACUGAGACACGGCCCUU